rnacentral:piRNA from 1 species
UCCACUCCUCUCAUGCACAUA